rnacentral:rRNA from 1 species
UACGAAGGGGGCUAGCGUUGCUCGGAUUUACUGGGCGUAAAGCGCGCGUAGGCGGAUAUUUAAGUCAGGGGUGAAAUCCCGGGGCUCAACCUCGGAAUUGCCUUUGAUACUGAAUAUCUAGAGUUCGGAAGAGGUAAGUGGAAUUCCAAGUGUAGAGGUGAAAUUCGUAGAUAUUUGGAAGAACACCAGUGGCGAAGGCGACUUACUGGUCCGAUACUGACGCUGAGGUGCGAAAGCGUGGGGAGCAAACAGG